AACAUGGACACUUGCUACAGGGUUCUCGUCGCUGCGGUUAUCGCCUUCGCCUCAAUCCAACUGAUAACUGGACAACAGCUUGAUAUUCAGAAAAUGUACGCAAUGUGUCAGGAAAAGUCAAACGCUACAGAUGAGGAACUAUCUGCAUUCCAGAGAAGUCAAAGUAUU